rnacentral:lncRNA from 1 species
UGGAACUUGAUUGUCCACCCGAAUCUCUCGAUAGUGGCUUCACCCCUCCCCGCUGACGCUCAGAAGACUCGUGCUUCUCGCGCACGAAAGCAUCACCGUGCUCUGCCAACAACGCUCGAUCCAACACCUCCGUGAAGGUCGUGAGCCUAAGGAUUUGCACCCUCUCGUAAAUCUCCGGUCGAAGUCCAUGUAGGAACCAAUCGGCCAUAUCCUUGUCAUCCCGUACCACAUCCGGGACACAAUUCACGAUACGAGAGAAUUCCCGUUCAUACUCUCCCACUGAGCGGCCUCCUUGCCGCAGCUUCCUGAACCUGUCCUGAAGCUUUCUCUUUUCAGUGUCGGGAAAGUAAGUCGAAAACACCAAUCCCCGAAACUCAUCCCAUGCCAUAGGAGGGAGACUAGGCGAUCGAUUCCGUCGAAUGCUUUUCCACCACACUUUUGCCGACAACUUCAAACAGUGCACGGCUAGGGGCACCUUGUCCCGCUCCAAGGCGUACAGCUCCUCAAAGAGCGUUUCCAUAGAGUCAAUCCACAUCUCCACGAUCCAUGGAUCAACAUUCUCUCCAUCGAAGACAGGCGGAUCAAACUUCUUGAAGGUCAUAAGGGCCGCCAAAGCCCGCUCUUUCUCCGCCUCCACUUCCACAGAAUCAGAGGCCACUACCCCUGAAUCCAUCGCCACUCCCGUCGAUACACGGCACGCUGCUACCGGCGCAGCCGCCGCAAUCUGUCGUGCUAACAACUCAUGGAGCUCCUUGAUCUGCUCCUCCUGUCGCAGCACUACGCCCAUGAGCGUACUCAUCUGCUCGCGAAGCACCGGAUCUCCGCUCGCCUCGGGUUGCUCAGGGAAAACACCUGUCCCAUCCCGAGUUGAUCUAGACGAAGGUCGCCUACGCGGUGCCAUCGUUCCUUGAAAUACGACAACUCAAUUAAUUCUCAACCCUCUGGGUCAAGCACGAGACAAUUUAACAUUAACUCAAAUCGGGCGAAAGUCACGCAAGGGCGUCUAUUCUCAUCACUCAGUUUCAUGUUGUGUGCACCCAACAUGAACACCCUCGGUUGAGAAUAAACCACACCUCGAGUCUACCUCUAAUAUCCGUCAUAGAGGUUUCAACAAAACCCAAUCAAUGAACCUUUCGCCAUAAGUCACAAGUCCUCGUCUCUCACGAGCCUUAUUCUCCUAUGGUUUACGAUCCUAGGUUCUCCUAGGUCCAUCUAAACCAUUGCCCAUUCUCUACUUUAUGCUCUGAUACCACUUUACCUGUCACGCCCCGAGCCCCGCCUAUUUGGCCGAGUUCGGGCACGUCGACAGACCGCCGAACGGACAGAGUUUCCCCUGUACGUCCUAGGCGUCGCAAUCAAUACAAUGAACAUUACAAGGGUUCCAACCAGGAACAGAUAUCAAACAUGAUUGCAUAAGGAAAGUAUCACAACAUAACACAUCCUAUGUUAUUACAUGCAUUCACAAUAAUACAUUUACUUUACAUUCAACUCCCAAAUGCAAUUAAGUUAUUACAUCAUUUGCUUACUACAAAUUGAUACAUUAUUUUCUUUUCAUUACCCAAACCCCUAGGCUAUGCCGACUCGGGGUACCGCUAUCUCUGGUCUCUGGGGUAGGGCGCUAUCUAUGGAGCUACGCCCUUGCAUCGCGCCGCCGCGCCGCUCACGUGCGAACCUGUAACACCCCAAAACAACGUGGGGUGAGAACCAACUCCAUGGUUCCCAGUGGGUACGGCCACCCAAGGGAGGAGCUCGACCAAUAGGUCCAAAGAGGCAGCUGCAGGUUAGUUUAAUAAACAGAUAGAUAGAUAUUUUACUAUGCAAUUAAUAAAACCAUACCUUGCCUCGCAAAUGCAAUAUGAACAUUAUGCAACUAUGCAACUGCAUAAACAACUAGUAGAUAUGUUAAUUCUACUUUUACUUUGCUACUUUAGGUCAUUUCAUUCAAUUGUAAGGUUUCCAUUACCUUAUGUUCUCAACUCAAGUUCAACUUGCUUCUAAGGUCUCUAUUACCUCAGGUUCUUGCCUCGAUCACUAGCUUAUAAGGUUCCCAUUAACCUAAUCAAGCUAACCACCCAACUCGGCCUCAAGUCAAUUAUCCGCGGAUAGUCCGCGCACUGGCUGCACCUCAGCCUGGCUGCCGUCGCAGCCUACCGCAGAUCUGACUUAACCAUCUGACGGCGAACUCAUCGCUCUCACCCAACAACAACUCAAGUCAUGACUUAGCCAUCUGGCGGCGAACUCAUCGCACCUCACCUAACAAUGGUUCAAGUCAUAACUUAGUCAUCUGGCAGCGACCACAUCGCUCUCACCCAACAAUGGUUCAAGUCAACCUAGGCGGCAUCAUCCGAUAAGCUAAUGGGCGAGGAGAACCACACAUACCCAAUUCCAGCUUAUUCUCAUGGCAUCCCGGGCGAGGAGAACCAUACAUACCCGUUGAAUCACUGCCAGGCGAGGAGAACCACACAUACCUGCAGUUAUGAUUCGCUUGCCAUCUCUUUUACCACAAUUUCCACCGCUCCAUGUGCGGCCACAUCACUAGGGAUUCCGGAAUCCAUUUCAUAUAGCUCAAGGGUUGGUUUCAAACCCUAUAGCAUUGACCUAUCUAGGUUCAACGUCCUUUUCACCCUAGGUCCAACUGACUCUAGGUUCAACGUCUCUAUCACAUAACCUAGAUUUACUUAACUCUAGUUUCAAUCCAUAACCUAUGUUCUUUAACACUAGGUUAGAUACCACUCGACCUAUGUUCAAUAACACUAGGUUCAUUGUCAUUCAUGUCCAACCUAUGUUUUAUACACUAGGUUCAUUGUCAUUCAUGUUCAACCUAUGUUUUAUACACUAGGUUGAUUGUCAUUCAUGUCCAACCUAUGUUUUAUACACUAGGUUAAGUGCCACUCGAUCUAUUUGACAUCCUAAUUGUCCAUGUCGAGUCCCAUAACUAUCAACAUUUUAUCUAGCAUGCAUUCUUUGAUGCCAACAUGCAUAAUCUUUCUCACAUGAUCUACAACAUGUUAAUAUGCAAGUAAUCUAGCAUAUUCUCAUCAUGUCAUCAUACAUGUAUUAACAAGCAUAUUUACAUUAUGUCAUUAACAUGCAUUCUUUACCAUAUGCUCGCAUGCAUUAUUUAGCAUUUCUAUAAUAUGUUCAUCAUGCAUUCUAUGGUAAUCGUAGCAUAGCAAUUAACAUGCAUUCGCCUAGCAUUUAACUCUUGCAUUCAUCUACCAUUUAUAUGCAUCAAUAUGAAUUUACAUUUCUCUUAGACAUAAAGGGCGACCUAGUCGCUUCGGUAGGCACAACCCACCUUAACACGCGUUCCGAUUGCUUGUCGACACUUGCAAUCGGCCUCCCGCGGCACCCGUAUCCGGCACGGCCCGAUAUCGCAACUGCGCCUCAACCGUGCUCCGCUUCGCAGCCCCGAAAAUUAUAGGUCCUCGGUUACGUGCCACGGUGCUUCAAAUCCAUUUCCAUGAUUUUACGACGUCGCCUCGGCCCUCCCGGCGGACCCGAAGCCUAAACGUCCGUUUCUUUAAUAACUUUGUAACGGCUCGUCGGAUUGCCGAUCCGUCUUCGCCAACGCGUUUCGUUACCUAGCAAUUAGGUUUAUGAAGGGUCAAAUUAGAUCAAACCCUCAUAUUUUGAAAGUUUGCAUUUUUGAGCCCUAAUAUGAAUUAACCUCUAAAUAAUCCAAAUCAAAUGGAGCAAACAUGUUUAGAAUGCUCAUUAGAGACUAUUAGAACACUUAAAACUAAGGAUUAAGCCAAAUCCUAAAAGCUUACCUCAAUGUGAACGCCGCGACGACAACACACCGCUCCAACGGCCGCACGAAAGCCCGAUCCGUCGCCUCCAACGCGUUCGCAAGCAUCUUCUCCACCAACCCUCCAAUUUUUAGAGAGAGAUUUAGAGAGAUGAGAGAGAUAUCUAGAGAGAGGUAGAGGUGUUUCUCUCUCUACUCCAUGCGUGCGUGGGUGUGUGCUCGGGCUGAAGGAGAAAGAAGAAGAAGCAUCAGCUUCUUUAUAAUGCACCCCAAGGCACUAUUCACUCCAGGCAGCUUGAAAUCUGAUAAAUUUCGUUGGAGCCCUUCCGGAUGUCCGUUUGAGCUCAAAUUUGACAGGCAUGUUCGGUUUCACUUAAUAAGUCCAAAGAAAUUUUAAUAUUUCAGUUUCGACCCCGUUUGGUCACUGAAAACUGUACCGAACUGCAAUCUUUAUCAGAUAGCUUUCGGAUUCGAUUUCUCUCUCUACGGGUGUCAGAAAAAUAUGAAACUUUAAAUCUAGUCUCAUAAAAAUAUUUCUGACAUCUCCAUCAAUUUUCAUAAUUUUCUGACACUGUGCAUUUUCUGCUAAUUUAUCUGUCCCGUUUCUUACAGAAAAUUCUAAAUCAUCUGUUUUCGCUCUGAUUUCAGCACAGGUCAUUCCCAACUUAUAUUUCACUUCUCUAAAUCCAAUAAAAGUAGUAUCUCAUACUAUUUUUAUUUAUUUUCACUUUUAUAUUUAAAAUCCGGUAUGUUACGUUCUACCGCAACCUCACCGGAACCAUUUAAAUAUACACCGUAACUUCAUAGUUUUAGAAGUCCGGUACCUUACAUCCUCCCCUCCUUAAUAAGAGUUUCGUCCCCGAAACUCACUCACUUCAACCCAAUUCACACUCUAAUUCUCUUUAUUGGGUGACAAGGGUGUACAAUGCACUUUUGCAUCUCGGAGUGGCCUUUCGCUCAUUGGAACUAUCCAAAGGUCCACUACGGAGGACGUGAGACUAGAUUCACUCACAUUUGCUGUGUGUAAGUCCAAAAGUGCAUUACGGGUCUCCGUCAUUCUUGGUGGUAGCGCAAGUUGAAACUCAACGACACCACGCGCUUGAACACCAUUCACCACUUGACAUGCAAGAACUUUUCUUUGCAUUUACCUUCCCCUCAGGGUAUUACAAUUCGAUUACCAGCCUUGCUUGAAGGCAAUAUCAUUGUGCAUCGCUUCAUCGUGAGUGUUCAAAUCAUAUUUGAAUCUUUGCUCUAUCAAGAGAUGGCCCACUCCGGUGCAUCUCGAUUUUGAAUCCAUAAUAAAGCAUUAUCCUCAAGUUCCUCAAUUCCUCCAACAUAACCCAGCCUACCUGGGCAAAUGCCGCACUCGGGGACCGGUCUCUCCCUUACCUGGGACCGGUUGCCCCGCGCUGCGCGACCCUCAGCCUCGGGGCAACCGGUCCUUCCCUGUCUGGGACCGGUCCCCGAGAGCAAGCUCACGCAGACCACGUUCGGGAACCGGUCCCUCCCGCCAGGGACCGGUCCCCGAGAGCAAAUCUGCCAAGUGUAGAUUCUUGCACCAUUUGCUCUCGCGGACUCCAUUGCAAUGCACUUUUAGUGCAUUUGACUUCUUCGGCUUUCAUGAAGCACUCCCACUCGACAAUUAGUCGAUCCUGAGCGAAGUCCAACUCUCGUAAUUUCCUUACUCUAACUCCUCCAUAGAGUUAUUGGCUAAACCGAUUACGUCGGCUUUCACAGGUGGACCAACGGUCGCAAACACUACGUAGGUCUAUCGCCUAACGUGUCUCAACUACGCGUAGCAUUUCCCGCUCGCAAGUAGACCCAAUCCUCAAUUUUCGAGCGAAAUUCUCACCUGGGAAUUCGCACCCACUCCAAGCAGGAGCAACCAAGACCCCAAACCACGUCAAGUCCUCGGGUUGGGUCACAACACACUAGGUGUAUCCUCGAUCUCACGAUCCAACACGUGGCAUUCCACGCACCCGGGUCUAAGCUCGGACUACCGUCCUGACCAACUCUCUGCCCUACCUAUAGGUACCGGACCGCUGUCUCUCACAGCUGACUGCACCUGCCCAAUGGGCCCAGACUCCACAGUCCACAAAUGGUCCAGGCACAGGUCGUCCCCAAGCAAUACCCGCCAACGUCGUCCUACACGACAUGCUCUACGAGUACCUAUACUCGAGCGCUCUACGCCUCUAUAGCGUUUCAACUAAGCCAAGCAGUAGGCCACCCGCCUAUGCACACCGACUACACGAGCACUACUCGCCCACCUCAACUCAGGGUGUUAUUAGGCCCAUAUGCUCGUGCUCGAUAACUAUCCGACUUUUUUCUCAAUAGUGAUCCUACUCUCACUGUUCAAUCUACCGAACCAUAUUCGAAAUGCUUUAACUACAAGGGUAUCCUCAAUGUCACGGCGCAACUCUCGCAAUCUGGUUCUCAUUGCCUUGAGAGCCGCUUCACCGUUUCACGUUCACCGCGAGUCUCAUUUCUUGUCCAGGAACCAUCACUAACAGUUUGUUAGUGCUGCAUGGCUCUCUACCUGCUCCAGCAGGCGCUACACUCUCACGAUGCAAGCAUGCUCGGGUGUCUACCUACCCGACCACUCGGUCCCUACUAUGCAAUAUGUAAAUAGUAGCUGCUGACCAUAUGAUAAAUGCAUGCUAUGCAACAGUCCAAUAUUAGGUAGAAGCAUAUACUUGCUUAAUUAACUCGUACCUGCCAUGACAGUGUCAGCAGUAGUAGGUUCCUCCACCUGGGUCGCGUAUCCACGGUCACCCGCUGCCCGCCGCGAGCCCCUCGGUGGCAUCAUCCUCAACGGUCGCGCUUCCGGCCAUGCCGCAGGUAGCACACCUGUAGGCUGUCCUGGGGAGGAAAAGGCCGUCGCCCGUGUCAGGGUCUGAUUAUACCCUUGCGGACACUCGUCCCGUACAUGGCCCGGCUGCCCGCAACGAAGGCAUCUACCAUCGCGCAGCACACACCGCCGAGCCUAGUAGGAACCACCACAAAUCACGCAUCCUGGGGAGGAUCGGCUAGAGAACGACUUCGAGUGGCGCUUGGAACUUGAUUGUCCACCCGAAUCUCUCGAUAGUGGCUUCACCCCUCCCCGCUGACGCUCAGAAGACUCGUGCUUCUCGCGCACGAAAGCAUCACCGUGCUCUGCCAACAACGCUCGAUCCAACACCUCCGUGAAGGUCGUGAGCCUAAGGAUUUGCACCCUCUCGUAAAUCUCCGGUCGAAGUCCAUGUAGGAACCAAUCGGCCAUAUCCUUGUCAUCCCGUACCACAUCCGGGACACAAUUCACGAUACGAGAGAAUUCCC